AGCGAACGUUUGCGGCGGGCCUAACACAUGCAAGUCGAACGCACUAGCAAUAGUGAGUGGCGCACGGGUGCGUAACACGUGGGUAAUCAACCCUUCAGCCUGGGAUAACGACUCGAAAGGGUCGCUAAUACCGGAUACGGCGCGAGAGGCUUCGGCUUCUCACGAGAAAGCCACGCAAGGGGCACUGAAGGACGAGCCUGCGGCCCAUCAGCUAGUUGGUGAGGUAAGAGCUCACCAAGGCUAAGACGGGUAGCUGGUCUGAGAGGAUGAUCAGCCACACUGGAACUGAGACACGGUCCAGACUCCUACGGGAGGCAGCAGUGGGGGAAUAUUGCGCAAUGGGCGAAAGCCUGACGCAGCCACGCCGCGUGAGCGAUGAAGGCCUCGGGUCGUAAAGCUCUGUGGGUAGGAGACGAAGAAAGACCUGUGAAGAGCAGGCCGUUGACGGUAGUCUCCUUACGUCAA
rnacentral:rRNA from 1 species